rnacentral:tRNA from 1 species
GCCGAAGUGGCGGAAUGGCAGACGCAGCGGAUUCAAAAUCCGCCGGGGGCAACCUCGUGAGGGUUCGAGUCCCUCCUUCGGCA